UACACCGGUAACGCCCAGAGAUGGGUGCCCCUUUGUGGUCGGUGUACAGGUGGUGGCAUGGUUGUCGUCAGCUCGUGUCGUGAGAUGUUGGGUUAAGUCCCGCAACGAGCGCAACCCCUCGUCCUAUGUUGCCAGCGGGUCAUGCCGGGGACUCAUGGGAGACUGCCGGGGUCAACUCGGAGGAAGGUGGGGAUGACGUCAAAUCAUCAUGCCCCUUAUGUCUUGGGCUUCACGCAUGCUACAAUGGCCGGUACAAAGGGCUGCGAUACCGCGAGGUGGAGCGAAUCCCGGAAAGCCGGUCUCAGUUCGGAUUGGGGUCUGCAACUCGACCCCAUGAAGUCGGAGUCGCUAGUAAUCGCAGAUCAGCAACGCUGCGGUGAAUACGUUCCCGGGCCUU
rnacentral:rRNA from 1 species